rnacentral:rRNA from 1 species
UACGUAGGGUGCGAGCGUUGUCCGGAUUUAUUGGGCGUAAAGAGCUCGUAGGCGGUUUGUCGCGUCUGCUGUGAAAACCCGAGGCUCAACCUCGGGCCUGCAGUGGGUACGGGCAGACUAGAGUGCGGUAGGGGAGACUGGAAUUCCUGGUGUAGCGGUGGAAUGCGCAGAUAUCAGGAGGAACACCGAUGGCGAAGGCAGGUCUCUGGGCCGCAACUGACGCUGAGGAGCGAAAGCAUGGGGAGCGAACAGG